rnacentral:rRNA from 1 species
AUGCAUGAAGCUGCCCCAUCAAACCAAUGCAUGAGAGAACUAGGUUGUAGCCUAGUGGCAAGGGAGCGCAGUGGCGUCUCCAGCAACCAGGGUUCGAGCCACGUCGGGGACGAAUUUCUGGUUUCUCACAAGGGAUGCUUCUUCUAUAUCAAUAAACCAUGGGUGCUAGUGCCCAUGAGUUUCAUCAAACCAAUGCAUGACAUAUACAUCCUCUUUUUCCUGUACUUCAGUGAACGUGGAGGGCUGGAUCGCUUCAUCUCUCUCCCUUUUCCCAUCUCUCUCUUACUUUUAUCAGCCAAGGCCCAAGAGACUACCUCCUCUGCAGGAUCCCGUCUUGGUCUGCAGGCUACUGGUUGA